CAGAGGCAUGCUCUGGUGACAGGAGCGGAGGCGCCAACCCAUCGGCGGAGAACAGAGAACCUAUUAUACAGAACAUUCAAUAGGAUUCCUACUAUAAUGGCCGUAGAAACACCCAUGCCACCGCUCCUCUACCCUGUCUCUCUUUGGCAGUCAGCCAAUCGCCAAUCUGAAUCUCUGCGCUGUAUCCAUCGAGAGGCGAAGGGCGCGUGCGGAGAGAGAGCGAGAGAGAGAAAGACUGGAACGGAACCGUCAAAACCCAGAAAUGAGCGCCACCCGCACAGAGAAAAUUUUCUUGUAUAGGGGGUCGUAUUCGGCGCUUCGAAAAAGACGGGGCUGCUCCCGGAAGGGAUUUCGCCAAGAGAGACGUCCAGCUUUCCCAAAUCGCGGUCUCAGAGGCCGUCUCUUGUCUGCAAGCUAACUCUUUCUUCCCAAAGGGAAGAGAAGGUCAGGCGCCGUGGCAUUUUUAUAUGAAAUGUGUCAAAUAAAAAAAAAAAAUCAUUUUUCAUGACGACGUUACACGAAAUACCUAAGGAUAAGCAGAAGGUAGUGUCUAUGAUACUAUCUUUUACGGAUUUGUACAAGGUUUUAUUCGUGACGUCGAAGGCAACGACUGAAGACAUCAACAAGCAGUACAAAAAGCUGUGCAUAUUAGUUCACCCGGAUAGAAAUGACCAUCCGAGAGCAGGUGAUGCAUUCAAGAAAUUGAGUGCAGCUAAGCACGUUUUGACGGACAGGAGGUUGAGAGAACGAUAUGACCGAACAGGCGUAGUAGAUGAGCGUCCGG